rnacentral:rRNA from 1 species
GACGAACGCUGGGGGCGUGCCUAAUACAUGCAAGUAGAACGCUGAAGGAGGAGCUUGCUCUUCUGGAUGAGUUGCGAACGGGUGAGUAACGCGUAGGUAACCUGCCUGGUAGCGGGGGAUAACUAUUGGAAACGAUAGCUAAUACCGCAUAAUAGUAGAUGUUGCAUGACAUUUGCUUAAAAGGUGCAAUUGCAUCACUACCAGAUGGACCUGCGUUGUAUUAGCUAGUUGGUGGGGUAACGGCUCAUCAAGGCGACGAUACAUAGCCGACCUGAGAGGGUGAUCGGCCACACUGGGACUGAGACACGGCCCAGACCCCUACGGGAGGCAGCAGUAGGGAAUCUUCGGCAAUUGACGGAAGUCUGACCGAUGAACGCCGCGUGAGUGAAGAAGGUUUUCGGAUCGUAAAGCUCUGUUGUAAGAGAAGAACGAGUGUGAGAGUGGAAAUGUUCACACUGAGACGUAUCUGCCCAGAAAG